GAUGAACGCUGGCGGCGUGCCUAAUACAUGCAAGUCGAGCGAACAGACGAGGAGCUUGCUCCUCUGACGUUAGCGGCGGACGGGUGAGUAACACGUGGAUAACCUACCUAUAAGACUGGGAUAACUUCGGGAAACCGGAGCUAAUACCGGAUAAUAUAUUGAACCGCAAGGUUCAAUAGUGAAAGACGGUUUUGCUGUCACUUAUAGAUGGAUCCGCGCCGCAUUAGCUAGUUGGUAAGGUAACGGCUUACCAAGGCAACGAUGCGUAGCCGACCUGAGAGGGUGAUCGGCCACACUGGAACUGAGACACGGUCCAGACUCGUAAGGGAGGCAGCAGUAGGGAAUCUUGCGCAAUGGGCGAAAGCCUGGCGGAGCAACGCCGCGUGAGUGAUGAAGGUCUUCGGAUCGUAAAACUCUGUUAGUAGGGAAGAACAAAUGUGUAAGUAACUAUGCACGUCUUGACGGUACCUAAUCAGAAAGCCACGGCUAACUACGUG
rnacentral:rRNA from 1 species